UGGGGAAUAUUGGACAAUGGGGGGAACCCUGAUCCAGCAAUGCCGCGUGUGUGAAGAAGGCCUGAGGGUUGUAAAGCACUUUAAGUGGGGAGGAGGUUGCUUAUGUUAAGAGCUAGAGCGAUGGACGUUACCCACAGAAUAAGCACCGGCUAACUCCGUGCCAGCAGCCGCGGUAAUACGGAGGGUGCGAGCGUUAAUCGGAAUUACUGGGCGUAAAGGGUGCGUAGGUUGUUUGAUAAGUUAGAUGUGAAAGUCCUGGGCUUAACCUGGGGAUUGCCUCUAAGACUGUUGGACUUGAGUAUAGGAGAGGGUAGUGGAAUUUCCGGUGUAGCGGUGAAAUGCGUAGAGAUCGGAAGGAACACCAGUGGCGAAGGCGGCUACCUGGCCUGAUACUGACACUGAAGCACGAAAGCGUGGGGAGCAAACAG
rnacentral:rRNA from 1 species